UACAGAGGGGGCAAGCGUUGUUCGGAAUUACUGGGCGUAAAGAGCGCGCAGGCGGUCGUUCAAGUCGCGUGUGAAAGCCCCCGGCUCAACUGGGGAGGGUCACGCGAUACUGAUCGACUCGAAGGCAGGAGAGGGUAGUGGAAUUCCCGGUGUAGUGGUGAAAUGCGUAGAUAUCGGGAGGAACACCAGUGGCGAAGGCGGCCCACUGGAUCGGUACUGACGCUGAGGUGCGAAAGCGUGGGGAGCAAACAGG
rnacentral:rRNA from 1 species